rnacentral:lncRNA from 1 species
GUGAUGUUUUCAUGCAUGCAAAUACACUACAGUGACCCUGAAAAAUAGAUUUGGAAAAGUUAAUUCAUAGCACUCACUCAGUCUGUUCUUUGCACACUGUAGCCACACCCUCUGACUUCCUUCUGUCCAAUACUUUAAUAUAGAUCCUUAACCCUUUACUGUGGUCUGCUCAUACUUCUCAACCAAGCCCCUGUCUACCUCAUCAUCAUCAUUCGGUCCUCAGUCACUUCAGUACUUUUCACCAUCUGACUCAUCGAGGCUCUUCAUGCUGUAAAGCAGUUCAACUUCUCCAGGAAACAGAGUCAGGCAGAGCUUAGAGUUCCGGAUGUUUAUCAGGGAGUGGUGCUUGAGUCAACACCCGUGCAAAGGACUGGGCUGAGGCAGAAUUGGGAAGAGGGAGAAAUCCAGCUGAGAUGCAAGCCAGACAGUGCCCGCCAACAGCACAGGGUGCUCAGAAACUUGAAACAGAACACAGAGGAGUUGACAAUUCAGCAGUACUGAUCUACUUGUAGCUUACAGACCCUCUGAGUGGUCAUGCUGAUCCAGAUCCAGUGCUUGAGUUGGUCCACCCCAACAACUACUCCAUCUAAGAGCUGCUGGAACCGGUGGAGGAGCUGGUGAUACAAAACCAGAUUCAGGAACAAGUCAUCUACACUGAGGAUUAAAACCUGAAGCGUGGCUGUGAUGGAGGCUAGCACCUGCCACUGUGGAGCAGCCCCGAGGAGCCUAAAAGAUCCAUGCAGUUUCCGAGGGGAGACAAAGCACUAGCAGAGGAGUCUGCAGAG